rnacentral:rRNA from 1 species
GGGGGGGGGGGGGGGGGGGGGGGGGGGGGGCAGGGCGAGCGGGGGGGGCCGGCGGGGGGGGGGUGCUCGAGUGGCGAACGGGGGAGUAACACGUGAGUAACCUGCCCUUGACUUUGGGCUAACUUCAGGAAACUGGGGCUCCUACCGGAUAGGAGCUCCUGCUGCAUGGUGGGGGUUGGAAAGUUUCGGCGGUUGGGGAUGGACUCGCGGCUUAUCAGCUUGUUGGUGGGGUAGUGGCUUACCAAGGCUUUGACGGGUAGCCGGCCUGAGAGGGUGACCGGCCACAUUGGGACUGAGAUACGGCCCAGACUCCUACGGGAGGCAGCAGUGGGGAAUAUUGCACAAUGGGCGGAAGCCUGAUGCAGCAACGCCGCGUGCGGGAUGACGGCCUUCGGGUUGUAAACCGCUUGCGCCUGUGACGAAGCGUGAGUGACGGUAAUGGGUAAAGAAGCACCGGCUAACUACGUG